UACAGAGGGGGCAAGCGUUGUUCGGAAUUACUGGGCGUAAAGGGCGCGUAGGCGGCCUGCUAAGUCGAACGUGAAAUCCCCGGGCUCAACCCGGGAACUGCGUCCGAUACUGGCAGGCUUGAAUCCGGGAGAGGGAUGUGGAAUUCCAGGUGUAGCGGUGAAAUGCGUAGAUAUCUGGAGGAACACCGGUGGCGAAGGCGGCAUCCUGGACCGGCAUUGACGCUGAGGCGCGAAAGCCAGGGGAGCAAAGCGGG
rnacentral:rRNA from 1 species